AACGAACGCUGGCGGCAGGCCUAACACAUGCAAGUCGAGCGCCCCGCAAGGGGAGCGGCGGACGGGUGAGUAACGCGUGGGAACGUACCCUUUGCUACGGAAUAGCCUCGGGAAACUGGGAGUAAUACCGUAUGUGCCCUUCGGGGGAAAGAUUUAUCGGCAAAGGAUCGGCCCGCGUUGGAUUAGGUAGUUGGUGGGGUAAUGGCCUACCAAGCCGACGAUCCAUAGCUGGUUUGAGAGGAUGAUCAGCCACACUGGGACUGAGACACGGCCCAGACUCCUACGGGAGGCAGCAGUGGGGAAUCUUAGACAAUGGGCGCAAGCCUGAUCUAGCCAUGCCGCGUGAGCGAUGAAGGCCUUAGGGUUGUAAAGCACUUUCAGUGGGGAGGAAAAGCUGGUGGCUAAUAUCCAUCGGCCGUGACGCUACCCACAGAAGAAGCACCGGCUAAUUCCGUG
rnacentral:rRNA from 1 species